AAUUUUUAAAACUUUUUUUUCAGCAUUUAAUAAUGUUGCUUGUUAUUUUUACAAUAGGUUUGAUAAUAAAAUAUAUCUAAGAUCAUUUUAAAAACUAUUAAACAUUUUAACACAAAUUUGGAACAGCUGAACAUAAAUUUGCCAUGUUGUACGUAAUAUGAAAGACAAAAUUGAAUUCGCAACACGUCGUGGCUGAUGAGUAUAGUGUUGUAAUUUUUUUAUGGUGGCACAAUGGGUUAAAAGAACAUAAGCUUACCGGUAGUUGUUGGAAGAGUUUUCAAGACGAGUGUUGAAAACAAUAAUUGAACUGACAACUCGAUAGUCACGGACCGGCAAACGGCAAAAA